ensembl:snRNA U6 U6 spliceosomal RNA
AUGCUUGCUUUGGCAGCACAUAUACGAAAAUUAGAAUGAUACAGAGAAGAUCAGCAUAGCUCUUGCACAAGAAUGACACACAAAUUCAUGAAGUGUUCCAUAUUUAA